rnacentral:rRNA from 1 species
UACGGGGGGGCAAGCGUUGUUCGGAAUUACUGGGCGUAAAGGGCUCGUAGGUGGCCAACUAAGUCGGACGUGAAAUCCCUCGGCUUAACCGGGGAACUGCAUCCGAUACUGGAUGGCUUGAGUUCGGGAGAGGGAUGCGGAAUUCCAGGUGUAGCGGUGAAAUGCGUAGAUAUCUGGAGGAACACCAAUGGCGAAGGCAGCACUCUGGGACGUGACUGACGCUGAGACGCGAAAGCGUGGGGAGCAAACAGG